rnacentral:ncRNA from 1 species
GCUUAACAAAGGGCAGAUGGUUCCCGUCAGGGGAUGAAAAGGGAAGUACGGUGAGAACCCUUCUGUUUCUUGGCCGUCGCUGCCCCCGCAACUGUAUGUGACAUCAGGCGUGUUUUCCGCACUCUUGUUUUUGGGAGUGUUGACCCACUGGAGCGUGCUCCGGGAAGGGCGGAAACAGGCGAAAACUGCCGGAGGGCCGGGGGUUUUGUGUCAUCAGCCAGGAGACCUGCCAUCUUUGUGCUGAGUGU